rnacentral:rRNA from 1 species
GAUGAACGCUGGCGGCGUGCCUAAUACAUGCAAGUCGAGCGAACAGACGAGGAGCUUGCUCCUCUGACGUUAGCGGCGGACGUGUGAGUAACACGUGUAUAACCUACCUAUCAGACUGGUAUAACUUCGGGAAACCGGAUCUAAUACCGGAUAAUAUAUUGAACCGCAUGGUGCAAUAGUGAAAGACGGUGUUGCUGUCACGUAUAGAGGGAUACGCGCCGCAUUAGCUAGUUGGUAAGUUAACGGCUUACCAAGGCAACGAUGCGUAGCCGAACUGAGAGGGUGGUAGGCCACACUGGAGGUGGGACAGCGUCCAGACGCCUAAGGGAGGCAGCAGUAGGGAACCGGCCGCAGUAGUCGAAAGCAUUACGGAGCAACGCCGCGUGUGAGACGACGGUGUUGCGAUCGUGAAAAUGUGUUACGAGUGAAGAACAGCUGUGGCCGGAAACAAGCAGGGAGUGACGGUACCUAAUAAGAAAGCACCGGCUAACUACGUG